rnacentral:rRNA from 1 species
UACAGAGGUCCCAAGCGUUGUUCGGAUUCACUGGGCGUAAAGGGUGCGUAGGUGGCCAGGUAAGUUCGGUGUGAAAGCUCGGAGCUUAACUCCGAAAUGGCAUUGAAUAUUAUCUGGCUAGAGGGUCGGAGGGGAGACUGGAAUUCUCGGUGUAGCAGUGAAAUGCGUAGAUAUCGAGAGGAACACCAGUGGCGAAGGCGAGUCUCUGGACGACUCCUGACACUGAGGCACGAAAGCCAGGGGAGCAAACAGG